GUAAGGGAACCUGCGGAAGGAUCAUUGAAUUAUAAAAACCACACUGUGAACCUCAACGUUCCGUGCCUCUGCUGCCAGCGGGGCAACGGGCUUUUGCUCGUUGCUGCUUGCAGCUGGCAUCGGCAUUGCUGCCUUUGCCAGUGGCGCUUUGGCAUGACCUUACACCAGUGCUAACCACUGUCAAAACCAAAAUCUGAAGUUCUGACUGCUAUUAACUGGCGGUCUUAACCAAAGACAACUCUCAACAACGGAUAUCUUGGCUCUCGCAACGAUGAAGAACGCAGCGAAAUGCGAUACGUAGUGUGAAUUGCAGAAUUCCGUGAACCAUCGAAUCUUUGAACGCAUAUUGCGCUCGAGCCCUCGGGCAAGAGCAUGUCUGCCUCAGCGUCGGUUUACACCCUCACCCCUCCCUCCUUGUGUGGGUCGGUUGGCUUGCUAGCCAGCCUUAGGGGUGGAUCUGGCUUCCCCAAACCGCUUUUGGCGGGUUGGGUUGGCUGAAGUUUAGAGGCUUAAACAAGGACCCGAUAUGGGCUUCAACUGGAUAGGUAGCACCGGCUUGUGCCGACCUACACGAAGUUGUGGCUUGUGGACUUUGUUAGGGGCCAAGCAGGAAACAUGCUUGCAUGUUCUAAACUUUCGACCUGAGCUCAG
rnacentral:rRNA from 1 species